UGAAGAACAAGUCCUUUCAUCGUCAAACUCCAUCCAAGUUGUUUACGAAACGACCAGCAGCACGGCGGACCUGAUUAGAGAAAAUGAAAGGCUAAGGAAGGAGAACAUGCAGCUAAACAAAGAGCUUGGCAAGAUGAAGAGUCUGUGCAACAACGUUUGUGUUCUGAUGUCGAAUUACGCUACGAAUUGCAAUAGCCAGGAAAAUGACGACCCUAGUAACAGCGAUCAACUUAUGGAGCGGCUGGAUCUACAACCAAUGAAAAGAUUUUGCGAACAGUUGCAAGGAGUUGCCAACGCCUCC
rnacentral:lncRNA from 1 species